rnacentral:rRNA from 1 species
UACGUAGGUGGCAAGCGUUGUCCGGAUUUAUUGGGUUUAAAGGGUGCGUAGGCGGCCCUGUAAGUCAGCGGUGAAAUACGGCAGCUCAACUGUCGAGGUGCCGUUGAUACUGCGGGGGCUUGAGUGUUGAUGAGGCAGGCGGAAUUGACGGUGUAGCGGUGGAAUGCGUAGAGAUCGGGAAGAACAUCAGUGGCGAAGGCGGCCUGCUGGGCUGUUGCUGACGCUGAGGCGCGACAGCGUGGGGGAGCAAACGAGGGAAUU